UAGGGAAUCUUCGGCAAUGGACGGAAGUCUGACCGAGCAACGCCGCGUGAGUGAAGAAGGUUUUCGGAUCGUAAAGCUCUGUUGUAAGAGAAGAACGAGUGUGAGAGUGGAAAGUUCACACUGUGACGGUAUCUUACCAGAAAGGGACGGCUAACUACGUGCCAGCAGCCGCGGUAAUACGUAGGUCCCGAGCGUUGUCCGGAUUUAUUGGGCGUAAAGCGAGCGCAGGCGGUUAGAUAAGUCUGAAGUUAAAGGCUGUGGCUUAACCAUAGUACGCUUUGGAAACUGUUUAACUUGAGUGCAAGAGGGGAGAGUGGAAUUCCAUGUGUAGCGGUGAAAUGCGUAGAUAUAUGGAGGAACACCGGUGGCGAAAGCGGCUCUCUGGCUUGUAACGGACGCUGAGGCUCGAAAGCGUGGGGAGCAAACAGGAUUAGAUACCCUGGUAGUCCACGCCGUAAACGAUGAGUGCUAGGUGUUAGACCCUUUCCGGGGUUUAGUGCCGCAGCUAACGCAUUAAGCACUCCGCCUGGGGAGUACGACCGCAAGGUUG
rnacentral:rRNA from 1 species